UACGUAGGGUCCGAGCGUUGUCCGGAAUUACUGGGCGUAAAGAGCUCGUAGGCGGUGUGUCACGUCGGCCGUGAAAACCUGCAGCUUAACUGUGGGCGUGCGGUCGAUACGGGCAUCACUGGAGUUCGGCAGGGGAGACUGGAAUUCCUGGUGUAGCGGUGAAAUGCGCAGAUAUCAGGAGGAACACCGGUGGCGAAGGCGGCUCACUGGACCGGUACUGACGCUGGAUGCGCGAAAGCCGUGGGGAGCAAACGGG
rnacentral:rRNA from 1 species